rnacentral:pre_miRNA from 1 species
AUGGAGCUAUGAAUGAAUGCAGCGACUGGUCACUCAUUCAUUCAUAGCUCCAUCAUUCAAAUGAGUGACCAGUCGCUGCAUUCAUUCAUAGCUCCAUCAU